rnacentral:rRNA from 1 species
AUUGAACGCUGGCGGCGUGCCUAACACAUGCAAGUCGAGCGGUAACAGGUGUAGCAAUACAUGCUGACGAGCGGCGAACGGGUGAGUAAUGCUUCGGAAUCUACCUUAUGGUGGGGAAUAACUAGCCGAAAGGUUAGCUAAUACCGCAUACGUCCUACGGGAGAAAGCAGGGGAUCGCAAGACCUUGCGCCAAAAGAUGAGCCGAAGUCGGAUUAGCUAGUUGGUAGGGUAACGGCCUACCAAGGCGACGAUCCGUAGCUGGUCUGAGAGGACGGACGGCCACACUGGGACCGAGACACGGCCCAGACUCCUACGGGAGGCAGCAGUGGGGAAUAUUGGACAAUGGGGGAAACCCUGAUCCAGCGACGCCGCGUGUGUGAAGAAGGCCUGCGGGUUGUAAAGCACUUUUAGUGGGGAUGAAAUGUGCAGGGUUAAUACCUCUGCAUUUUGACCUAACCCACAGAAAAAGCACCGGCUAACUCUGUGCCAGCCGCCGCCGUAA